rnacentral:rRNA from 1 species
UGAGUAACACGUAUCCAACCUGCCGUCUACUCUUGGCCAGCCUUCUGAAAGGAAGAUUAAUCCAGGAUGGCAUCAUGAGUUCACAUGUCCGCAUGAUUAAAGGUAUUUUCCGGUAGACGAUGGGGAUGCGUUCCAUUAGAUAGUAGGCGGGUAACGGCCCACCUAGUCUUCGAUGGAUAGGGGUUCUGAGAGGAAGGUCCCCCACAUUGGAACUGAGACACGGUCCAA